rnacentral:sRNA from 1 species
UUUAUAGAUGUCAUGCACGUCUAAUGUAGUGUUCAACAUAAACCGAAAAUGCCUAAUGAUUGUUGGAAAUGUUUCCAAAAUGUUAAAUAUCAAACAAUAAGGCUGAUAUGUUCCUAAUAACAUAUCUAUGUCACCUGAGUCUUCCUCUGUCGUACGUUUAAAAGGGGGAAAUAAAAAACAGCUCCUGAAUUAUCAUUAGCUGUCCCGGAAAAAAAGAGACCAAGGUCAAUAAACAUGGCGAACAUAUACUAUGCAAUGCUUAGAACUCGAUGUUGAAAAAAAUACUUUAAAAAAUGCACAUGUAUGUAUGUAUUGUUUUUAAAAAGUUGUGUAGGACAAGAUCGUGUCGUUUUGUUUAUUUUAAAAGUAUAAAACCUCUAGUACAAUGCAUGAUUUGUUUGUUUCAUUUUUACUGAAUAAUGUAUUUACUAAGGUAUUUUCUUUUGCUGAUAUAUUUACUCUCAUUAACAACAAUUGCUUUAUAUUUUUUUUUAAUUUUAGACUUGAAAUUAAACUUUUUUGCGUUAUUUUAAAAUGCAAAUAACAUUUACCAACAAUUUUGUUUGGGAUGUGUUUCAAAUGAAUGAACAAGGUUUAAUAUAUUUAGUAAAUAGCCAGUUGUUUUUAAUGUAUUAACACUACCUGUUUCUUAUGUGGACAUUUUAUUGUGAAGUAGUGUAAUUGAUAAGGAUAAACCUGUAGGUACAUAAUUGAUGUGAAAAAUAAAAUAUGAGAAAAGU